GACGAACGCUGGCGGCGUGCUUAACACAUGCAAGUCGAACGGAAAGGCCCUGCUUUUGUGGGGUGCUCGAGUGGCGAACGGGUGAGUAACACGUGAGUAACCUGCCCUUGACUUUGGGAUAACUUCAGGAAACUGGGGCUAAUACCGGAUAGGAGCUCCUGCGGCAUGGUGGGGGUUGGAAAGUUUCGGCGGUUGGGGAUGGACUCGCGGCUUAUCAGCUUGUUGGUGGGGUAGUGGCUUACCAAGGCUUUGACGGGUAGCCGGCCUGAGAGGGUGACCGGCCACAUUGGGACUGAGAUACGGCCCAGACUCCUACGGGAGGCAGCAGUGGGGAAUAUUGCACAAUGGGCGGAAGCCUGAUGCAGCAACGCCGCGUGCGGGAUGACGGCCUUCGGGUUGUAAACCGCUUUCGCCUGUGACGAAGCGUGAGUGACGGUAAUGGGUAAAGAAGCACCGGCUAACUACGU
rnacentral:rRNA from 1 species